ensembl:snRNA U6 U6 spliceosomal RNA
GUGCUUGCUUUAGUAGCAUAUACUGUACUUAAAUUGAAACGAUACAGAUUAGAUGGGCAUGGCCUCUACACAAGGAUGACAUGCAAGUUUGUUAGGGCUGUGGGAGUCUG